rnacentral:rRNA from 2 species
ACGGAAGGCAGCAGUGGGGAAUAUUGCACAAUGGGGGAAACCCUGAUGCAGCGACGCCGCGUGAGUGAAGAAGUAUUUCGGUAUGUAAAGCUCUAUCAGCAGGGAAGAAAAUGACGGUACCUGACUAAGAAGCCCCGGCUAACUACGUGCCAGCAGCCGCGGUAAUACGUAGGGGGCAAGCGUUAUCCGGAUUUACUGGGUGUAAAGGGAGCGUAGACGGUUCUGCAAGUCUGAUGCGAAAGGCAGGGGCUCAACUCCUGGACUGCAUUGGAAACUGUAGAACUAGAGUGCCGGAGAGGUAAGCGGAAUUCCUAGUGUAGCGGUGAAAUGCGUAGAUAUUAGGAGGAACACCAGUGGCGAAGGCGGCUUACUGGACGGUAACUGACGUUGAGGCUCGAAAGCGUGGGGAGCAAACAGGAUUAGAUACCCUGGUA